rnacentral:rRNA from 1 species
UACGGAGGGGGCUAGCGUUGUUCGGAAUUACUGGGCGUAAAGCGCACGUAGGCGGCUUUGUAAGUUAGAGGUGAAAGCCCGGGGCUCAACUCCGGAAUUGCCUUUAAGACUGCAUCGCUAGAAUUGUGGAGAGGUAAGUGGAAUUCCAGGUGUAGCGGUGAAAUGCGUAGAUAUCUGGAGGAACACCGGUGGCGAAGGCGGCAUCCUGGACCGGUAUUGACGCUGAGGCGCGAAAGCUAGGGGAGCAAACGGG